rnacentral:rRNA from 1 species
UACGGAGGGUGCAAGCGUUAUCCGGAUUCACUGGGUUUAAAGGGUGCGUAGGAGGGCAGGUAAGUCAGUGGUGAAAUCUCCAAGCUUAACUUGGAAACUGCCGUUGAUACUAUCUGUCUUGAAUACCGUGGAGGUGAGCGGAAUAUGUCAUGUAGCGGUGAAAUGCUUAGAUAUGACAUAGAACACCAAUUGCGAAGGCAGCUCGCUACACAUAUAUUGACUCUGAGGCACGAAAGCGUGGGGAUCAAACAGG